CCUAAUACAUGCAAGUCGUACGCUAGCCGCUGAAUUGAUCCUUCGGGUGAAGUGAGGCAAUGACUAGAGUGGCGAACUGGUGAGUAACACGUAAGAAACCUGCCCUUUAGUGGGGGAUAACAUUUGGAAACAGAUGCUAAUACCGCGUAACAACAAAUCACACAUGUGAUCUGUUUGAAAGGUCCUUUUGGAUCGCUAGAGGAUGGUCUUGCGGCGUAUUAGCUUGUUGGUAGGGUAGAAGCCUACCAAGGCAAUGAUGCGUAGCCGAGUUGAGAGACUGGCCGGCCACAUUGGGACUGAGACACUGCCCAAACUCCUACGGGAGGCUGCAGUAGGGAAUUUUCCGCAAUGCACGAAAGUGUGACGGAGCGACGCCGCGUGUGUGAUGAAGGCUUUCGGGUCGUAAAGCACUGUUGUAAGGGAAGAAUAACUGAAUUCAGAGAAAGUUUUCAGCUUGACGGUACCUUACCAGAAAGGGAUGGCUAAAUACGUGCCAGCAGCCGCGGUAAUACGUAUGUCCCGAGCGUUAUCCGGAUUUAUUGGGCGUAAAGCGAGCGCAGACGGUUUAUUAAGUCUGAUGUGAAAUCCCGAGGCCCAACCUCGGAACUGCA
rnacentral:rRNA from 1 species